ACUGCCAUAUCACGAUGAAACACCGGCUUCUGUACGAUCGCCGAAGUUAAGCAAUGUCGCGACUGGUCAGUACCUAAAUAGGUAAUUGCUAGGGAAUACCAGGUUCUGUAUU